rnacentral:rRNA from 1 species
CUAUACAUGCAUGUCGAGCGAAGUUCUUCGGAACUUAGCGGCGAAUGGGUGAGUAACACGUACUCAACGUACCUCUUAGAUUGGAAUAGCGAGUGGAAACAUUCGAUAAUACCAAAUACUUAUAUUUUUCGCAUGAAGAAUAUAUAAAAGGAGCUUUACAGCUCCGCUAAGAGAUCGGGGUGCGCAACAUUAGCUAGUUGGUGAGGUAACGGCCCACCAAGGCGAUGAUGUUUAGCGGGGUUGAGAGACUGAACCGCCACACUGGGACUGAGAUACGGCCCAGACUCCUACGGGAGGCAGCAGUAGGGAAUAUUCCACAAUGAGCGAAAGCUUGAUGGAGCGACACAGCGUGCAGGAUGAAGGUCCUAUGGAUUGUAAACUGCUGUGGUAAGAGAAGAAAAAGUAGUAUAGGAAAUGAUACUACCUUGACGGUACCUUAUUAGAAAGCAACGGCUAACUAUGUGCCAGCAGCCGCGGUAAUACAUAGGUUGCAAGCGUUAUCCGAAAUUAUUGGGCGUAAAGCGUCUGUAGGUUGUUUGUUAAGUCUGGCGUCAAAUUUUGGGGCUCAACCCCAAACCGCGUUGGAUACUGGCAAACUAGAGUUAUGUAGAGGUAAGCGGAAUUCCUUGUGAAGCGGUGAAAUGCGUAGAUAUAAGGAAGAACACCAUUAUGGCGAAGGCGGCUUACUGGACAUAAACUGACACUGAGAGACGAAAGCGUGGGGAGCAAACAGGAUUAGAUACCCUGGUAGUCCACGCCCUAAACGAUGAUCAUUAGCUGAUGGAGAAUUCAUUGGCGCAGCUAACGCAUUAAAUGAUCCGCCUGAGUAGUACGUUCGCAAGAAUAAAACUUAAAGGAAUUGACGGGGAUCCGCACAAGCGGUGGAGCAUGUGGUUUAAUUUGAAGAUACGCGUAGAACCUUACCCACUCUUGACAUCUUCCGCAAAGCCAUGGAGACAUGGUGGAGGUUAACGGAAUGACAGAUGGUGCAUGGUUGUCGUCAGCUCGUGUCGUGAGAUGUUCGGUUAAGUCCUGCAACGAGCGCAACCCUUAUCCUUAGUUACCAUCAUUUAGUUGGGGACUCUAAGGAGACUGCCGGAGUAAUCCGGAGGAAGGUGGGGACGACGUCAAAUCAUCAUGCCUCUUACGAGUGGGGCUACACACGUGCUACAAUGGACAGUACAAAGAGAAGCGAAGUGGUGACAUGGAGCAAACCUCAAAAAACUGUUCUCAGUUCGGAUUGAAGUCUGCAACUCGACUUCAUGAAGUUGGAAUCGCUAGUAAUCGUAGAUCAGCUACGCUACGGUGAAUACGUUCUCGGGUCUUGUACACACCGCCCGUCAAACCAUGGGAGCUGGUAAUGCCCGAAGUCGGUUAUAAAGAAACUGCCUAAGGCA